ACUAAACCUACUUUACAUGUUGGUCCAGUCACGCCAGCUGCCUGUGCUUUGCCCGGAAGUAAUGUCUCCCAUGCGCGAGAGUUUGGAGACGCCAAAAGGCUGCAAAGAAACUUCAGACCCUGCAUUGAUGCCCUCUUGGGAGCUAAUGCCAACCAGCAGCCAUUUUGUUUCUCCCUGCGGGACAUUAGCCCAGGGAUCACACCACUGCUGUGGCAGACACUGUCUGGGGCCAACCGUCAAGCAUCUGACACUCAGCGCAGGAGAUAAAGUAACGAGGGACGUGACGUUGAUUUGACACCCGGUGACUGACAGAAAGGAGCGAGAAAAAUCAGCUAAAAGAGAAGAGGAGGAAAGGAAGACACUGGGAGGAGAAGAGGAGGAAAGGAAGACACUAGAAGGAGAAGAAGAGGAGGAAAGGAAGACACUGGGAGGAGAAGAGGAGGAAAGGAAGACACUAGAAGGAGAAGAAGAGGAGGAAAGGAAGACACUAGAAGGAGAAGAAGAGGAGGAAAGGAAGACACUAGAAGGAGAAGAAGAGGAGGAAAGGAAGACACUGGGAGAAGAAGAGGAGGAAAGGAAGACACUAGAAGGAGAAGAAGAGGAGGAAAGGAAGACACUAGAAGGAGAAGAAGAGGAGGAAAGGAAGACACUGGGAGAAGAGGGAGGGGUUGUGGGAAAGAGAAAAAAAGGAAAAGCAACCAGAAGCGCUAGCCAGGAACUCGUGCCAGUAAACUCAGAGACAAUGAACCUCCGCCAGAUGUUGCGCCAUUUGGCCUUGCUCGCUCCGGCAAAGAGAUGCGAGCCGACUAACCAUUUUUCACUGUCAGCCAGAACAACGGGGCCUUACAGAG
rnacentral:lncRNA from 1 species